rnacentral:rRNA from 1 species
AGUGAACGCUGGCGGUAGGCCUAACACAUGCAAGUCGAACGGCAGCACAGGAGAGCUUGCUCUCUGGGUGGCGAGUGGCGGACGGGUGAGGAAUACAUCGGAAUCUACUUUUUCGAGAGGGAUAACGUAGGGAAACUUACGCUAAUACCGCAUACGAUCUACGGGUGAAAGCAGGGGACCUUCGGGCCUUGCGCGAUUGAAUGAGCCGAUGUCGGAUUAGCUAGUUGGCGGGGUAAAGGCCCACCACGGCGACGAUCCGUAGCUGGUCUGAGGGGAUGAUCAGCCACACUGGAACUGAGACACGGUCCAGACUCCUACGGGAGGCAGCAGUGGGGAAUAUUGGACAAUGGGCGCAAGCCUGAUCCAGCCAUACCGCGUGGGUGAAGAAGGCCUUCGGGUUGUAAAGCCCUUUUGUUGGGAAAGAAAUCCAGCUGGCUAAUACCCGGUUGGGAUGACGGUACCCAAAGAAUAAGCACCGGCUAACUUCGUGCCAGCCGCCGCUGUAA